rnacentral:lncRNA from 1 species
CACUGCCUGCCUUUGAGCUGGGUGCCCCAACGGGAGCUGCAAGGGCCUGAGGACUUGACGGCCACUCGCCAACCUGAACCUUGGCGGGUGCACAGGCUCCAGCCUCCCAGAACUCAGAGGCAUCACCCAGGGCCUCGUUUUCUUUGACCCGGGCCUCUGCUGUAGGUUCCCCGGCCUUUUGGGAUGCAGCCCCCUCUUUUGGUUCCUGCGGCCCCGGCGGCGAGGUGCCCUCUGCCAGGGACUCACCCACCCCGACCUCUGCUUCCUCUCUCGGGUUCUCCUGAUCCUGGGGUGCUGGUCCCUCUCCAGGGUCCUGGGAUUCCCGGGAGUGGCUGCUGACCACCACGCAGCCUUCGUGGGGCCCAACCAGGACAUGGUCGUUAUCAUGGAUACGGUGCAGAAGAAAAUGGACCAGAGUCCUGAAGAGGGACUGAAACUGUGCCACGGGGGCCUCGGGAGCACCCGCAGGGAGGACUUGUGGGCCCUCUUGGCCAUUGCUGUCUUCCUCCUCCUCUUCAGUCUCUUCCUCUUCCUCCUGAUUGUCUUCCUGGUUUUCGUCCUGCUCUUCCGACUCAUAUUCAGACCCCACCCUGGUUCCCAAACUCAAAUUCGAAAUCUUGAGAUGGGUAAUCAUAGUCGUCCUCGUCCCCAAACUCGAACUCGAAGUCCUCUUCUUCGUCGUCUUCGUCCCCGUCCUCAUCUUCGUCUUCCUCCUUGUCUUCUUCCUCUUCCUCCUCUUGUAGCAGCUUUACAACCCAGCUCUCUUCUGCGGCCCAGGUGGCCUCCUGCCCAUCCUCCUCUUCAGGAAGGGCUCUGGAAACCUCUCCGGGAGGCAGGAAGGCCGCACCCUCCUCGACUCCGCCCUUCCCUUCUGAAGGUGACCCCCGGACCCCGAGGGGCCUGGGGUCCUGGCCUGCCCCAUCACCAGCUUUGUCCUGGCCACCUAGGACCAGAUUUUGCUCCUCUGUGGCAGCCAUGGCAGGAGCGACUUGCCAGUCAGUGCCUCAACUGGAGCUUUGACUGGACUGCAGCCACAACUUUGGUGAAAAUGGCGUCCGCUGAAGUGACUGCCCUCAAGGGGAGGCUGUUGGCAGCAGGGCCUGUGCCGAGCCGGUGGGGGCGGCAGAGAAGAUGGCUUCAGAGGACACAACAGUCUGUGAAGGUGCCUGUGGAAGCCCCGCGACAGGAAGGGCAGAGGAGCAGCCCAAGGAGC